CGUCCGAUGGCACAAGGAGUGCGUCUGCUGGAAGUGGGCAUAUGUGAUGUGUUUCUGCAGCAGGUCCCCGUUCGAUUCGGGGUUGGGCGA